rnacentral:rRNA from 1 species
GAUGAACGCUGGCGGUAUGCUUAACACAUGCAAGUCGAACGGUACCUUCGGGUAUAGUGGCGGACGGGUGAGUAACGCGUGAGAAUCUAUCUUCAGGUCGGGGACAACAGUUAGAAAUGACUGCUAAUACCGGAUGUGCCGAAAGGUAAAAGAUUUAUUGCCUGAAAAAGAGCUCGCGUCAGAUUAGCUAGUAGGUGGUGUAAGAGACUACCUAGGCUUCGAUCUGUAGCUGGUCUGAGAGGACGGUCAGCCACACUGGAACUGAGACACGGUCCAGACUCCUACGGGAGGCAGCAGUGGGGAAUUUUCCGCAAUGGGCGAAAGCCUGACGGAGCAAUACCGCGUGAGGGACGAAGGCUCUUGGGUCGUAAACCUCUUUUCUCAAGGAAGAUUCAGACGGUACUUGAGGAAUAAGCAUCGGCUAACUCUGUG